UCCGAGUUGACCCCGGCAGUCUCCUAUGAGUCCCCACCAUGACGUGCUGGCAACAUAGGACGAGGGUUGCGCUCGUUGCGGGACUUAACCCAACAUCUCACGACACGAGCUGACGACAACCAUGCACCACCUGUGCAGGACCCUUGCGGACCUCCCAUCUCUGGAAGAUUUCCCUGCAUGUCAAGCCUUGGUAAGGUUCUUCGCGUUGCGUCGAAUUAAGCCACAUGCUCCGCUGCUUGUGCGGGCCCCCGUCAAUUCCUUUGAGUUUUAGCCUUGCGGCCGUACUCCCCAGGCGGGGCGCUUAAUGCGUUAGCUGCGGCGCAGAACACGUGGAAUGUGCCCCACACCUAGCGCCCAACGUUUACGGCAUGGACUAC
rnacentral:misc_RNA from 1 species